rnacentral:rRNA from 1 species
GUGGGGAAUUUUGGACAAUGGGGGCAACCCUGAUCCAGCAAUGCCGCGUGAGUGAAGAAGGCCUUCGGGUUGUAAAGCUCUUUCGGUCGGGAAGAAGGGACUGGUGUUAAUAGCGCCGGAACUUGACAGUACCUGACUAAGAAGCCCCGGCUAACUACGUGCCAGCAGCCGCGGUAAUACGUAGGGGGCAAGCGUUAUCCGGAUUUACUGGGUGUAAAGGGAGCGUAGACGGAAUGGCAAGUCUGAAGUGAAAUCCUGCGGCUUAACUGCAGAAUUGCUUUGGAAACUGUCAAUCUGGAGUGUUGGAGAGGUAAGCGGAAUUCCUGGUGUAGCGGUGAAAUGCGUAGAUAUCAGGAAGAACACCGGAGGCGAAGGCGGCUUACUGGACAAUAACUGACGUUGAGGCUCGAAAGCGUGGGAAGCAAACAGGAUUAGAAACCCCGGUAGUCC